rnacentral:rRNA from 1 species
CCUACGGGAGGCUGCAGUGAGGAAUAUUGGUCAAUGGACGAGAGUCUGAACCAGCCAAGUCGCGUGAAGGAUGACUGCCCUAUGGGUUGUAAACUUCUUUUAUAUGGGAAUAAAAUGUUCCACGUGUGGGAUUUUGUAUGUACCAUAUGAAUAAGGCUCGGCUAACUCCGUGCCAGCAGCCGCGGUAAUACGGAGGAUCCGAGCGUUAUCCGGAUUUAUUGGGUUUAAAGGGAGCGUAGGUGGAAUGUUAAGUCAGUUGUGAAAGUUUGCGGCUCAACCGUAAAAUUGCAGUUGAAACUGGCAGUCUUGAGUACAGUAGAGGUGGGCGGAAUUCGUGGUGUAGCGGUGAAAUACUUAGAUAUCACGAAGAACUCCGAUUGCGAAGGCAGUUCACUGGACUGCAACUGACACUGAGGCUCGAAAGUGUGGGUAUCAAACAGGAUUAGAUACCCCUGUAGUC